rnacentral:rRNA from 1 species
UACAGAGGGGGCAAGCGUUGUUCGGAAUUACUGGGCGUAAAGCGCACGCAGGCGGUCUGUCAAGUCGGAUGUGAAAUCCCCGGGCUCAACCCGGGAACUGCAUUCGAAACUGGCAGGCUAGAGUCUCGUAAAGGGGGGUAGAAUUCCAGGUGUAGCGGUGAAAUGCGUAGAGAUCUGGAGGAAUACCGGUGGCGAAGGCGGCCCCCUGGACGAAGACUGACGCUCAGGUGCGAAAGCGUGGGGAGCAAACAGG